AUGUCACCUAAAAAAGUAGGCAAACAAGGACAAAUAAUUCACAGGGAGAGAGAUUAUUUCUAACGUGGCAGCUUUUAUGAAAAAAGAAGCAGAGCAAGGAAUUACUAUUCCUUUGAAAAAUGUUAGACAACGUACGUUAGCUGCCACUCGAGUAUCCCAGUCAACUUACAGAAGAGUGGUUCAAGAGUCAGAAGAUAUAGAAAAUAUACCUUCCUGUUCCUUUACCAGUCCAGUGGUAAUAUUAUUUUGAUCCAAAUUAAAGAUAUAAAACAAAUAGUGUAUGAUUUCUACAUAGUUGAAAAAAGAAGACCUACUCUAAAAUUAAUACUUCAAAAGCUUCUUGAUCGGGCGAUUAUUCAAGGCCCUAUAAGUACACCAACCUUAUCAAAUUUGCUGAAAAAAAUAGUUGACUGGCUCAAGGAACGUAAUUUUACAUUUGAUGCAAAACUCACCAAGACAAAGUUAUAUGAAAUGAGUGUCUGAAAAUAAAAAAAGUAUCUUGUAAAAACCAAGUUGGACGACCUAAUGGAAAAGCAUGGACACAUUGUGUUACGUUUGCCUCCAUACCACCCAGAGCUUAAUCCGAUAGAAAAAAUUUGGGCAACUGUUAAGAAUUGGUGGCAAGCAGAAAUUCCACUUUUAAAUUGGCGGAUGUCGAAACUUUGACAAGGCAGAAAUUUGCGGUAAUUUCGAAUAAUGAGUGGAUAAAUAUUUGCAACCAUAUAGACAACAUAGAAAAACAAUAUUUCGAAAGUCAUCACCUUUUUGAUGAAGCAUUGGAUUCUUUAAAAUUUACAGUAAAU